GUUACGAUUGGCAUUGUAGCUCUAUUCGAUUUUAUUAAGACUUUAAUCGUGUACCAGAAGAAUUCGUUCGAGAUUUUUUUUUACUUUGGAAUUUACCCAAGAGCUAUUGUUGGCUAUCGAACGAUCAUAAAAAAAAGUCGGUAUGUCGAUUAGUUUAAUAGUUCGGAGAAAAGUCAGUGUUAACAUUUUGCAACUUGCAAGUGAUAAUACGCCUAAGUAGUUGAUUAGUGUUGCAAUUUUUUUCGUAGUUAGCCUAUUCGUGGUACGAGAAAUUUAACCUGUUUAAUCGAUAUACGGCUUGUACAUCCAUACAUUCGGCAUUUAUCUAAAUUAAUUAGUGAUUGAUGAUAACGUAUUCUCUUCUUUGCCUUAUGCCAUGCCUUAUGGUUUUCUUUUAUCAGCUAUCAAUUUAUUACCUAUGAAUCAUCAUCUGAUAAUUUGGUCUUUAGAAUGUUCCUAUUAACUUAUGAUGGAGUUUCUAAUUUAUCUAUGAACAUGAAUAACAUGAUAAAGGAACUAAUUUUAGAUCCCUAUGAGUAAUUAGUAUUUGGUUGAAUGAAGAAGGAAAUUUAUGGCAAAGGUAGAAUAUGUACUGAAAUUUUUUGAUUGGUAGAAAGUUCAACUUCAGGUGUAAUUCUGGGCUGGAAAAUCAAAAACUUUGAAGAGAAAUCUUCAACCAAUUAGGUUUGAUAAAACUGGUUACAUACCUAAUUUCAAGUUGCAGGUUGUAGUGAUUGUUACUUGAACUUCGAAACCUUUACAAGAAAAACUUCACGUGUUUUCAAAUUCAACGCAAAUUUUGAACCUGAACUGGAACCAAAAAUCCACUGAUAAGAUUGACUUCUAUUGAAACCUUGAUCGGGCAGCAGAUUGUUAGUGGAAAGAGGAGGUCUACCAAAAAUACCUCAAACGGCAUAUUUUCAAUGUCCAUUUGAAGCAGAAGAAUGAAGCGGAUAAAAAUGAAGUCGAAGUUCGAUAUCGGAGAAGUCGAUUUUUGUAUUUUAGAUCUGACUGCGAUAGCGUUUCCUAAACAUUUCUCAGAAUCACCAUCAUUCAGUGACCACUUCCAAUGAAAAAUUUAUUGACUGUUAACAAUUUACGGUUUUCAAAUUUCUAUGUUAAUUUAUUUUCAAUGCAUUACUCCAUACUCCAUGUCUCCAUAGCAAAAUCAUAAUUUCAAAUUAAACUUGAAAAAAUAAUAACUUAAUUUUAAAAAAUGGGUGUCAAUUAAAAUCACUCGUAUUAGCACACGUAAAACUAUUUUAUGUAUGCAUUAAUUUUUUUUACGUAUUUAUCUUGAAUGCAAAGAUGUAUUUUUGUAACAUUCAAAAUUCAAAUUACGAACAGAAAAAGAGAAUUUACAUAAAUGAGUUUCAUUAGCAUCAUUUUUUGAUGAUGAGAAAAAAUACCUUACAGAAGAACGUUCUGACUUGAAAUUCUCCGAUUUGAACAAAACCAAAUUAGAUCGAAAGGACACUACCCAAAACCUCAUUAACCAAAACUUCACGUUCCAAGUUCAUUUUUGGAUUUUUGGCAAAUUUUAAAAAAAAUUGAAAAAAGCUCUUUCUAAGGUGAUUUUCAAACGUUUUCAUAAAGUAUAUUUUUUUGAGCCAAGUUAACCAAUAAGUAUGGAUAUUUUUUUCAAUUCAACUUCCACGCAUCAAUAAAUUACUAAUUUUGGGCCAUUUUGGAGCCUUCGGCGAUUUUUCAAUUUCUUCCAAAAACUUCAAAUUACUCUGGAACGGUCAAAAAUAAACUUUACAUAGGAUCUAUAACUUUGGUGGGUGCUUAUUAGGCACACUUUCCACAGUUUUAGGUGGUUACCUCAAAAUUCCAGGGGUGUCAGUUCAAAAAAAAAAAAAAUUGAUCAAUUUUUAAAUUCCAAAAAAAGUGAAAAAAAUCAAAUUUUCUAUCAAGGUGUAUAUAAUCAUUAUUUUUUUCGGAAAGACAUCGUUUGAUGUGCUUACACGAUCAUACAUAUGACCAAAAAAAUCUCAAUUUGACCAUUUUGGAGCCUCCAGCGAGUUUUCAAAUACCUCCAGAAAUUAUAAAUCGCUCUGGAAAAGCCUAAUAUGAACAUUGGCACCAAAAACAUUAGUCAGUGCUUAUUGGACAUCAAAUUGGUCAAAAAUUCAUAUUUAAACUAGCAUUUUUGGUACUUCGCAGUAAUCACCUUAGCGGUCAAGAGGGUGCUCAAUAAGCACCGAUCAAAGUUACGUGUCAGAGAGUUCAUUUCCAGAAUAAUUUGAACUUUCUUUUCAGGAGAACAUUGAAAUUUUUUUUUGAUUUUUUAGAGUUGAAUUGAAGGAAUUGUUCACAUUGGUUCAUUUUGUUCAAAAAAUUUAUAUUACCUAUAUUUUCAUUAAAAAGUUUAAAAAUUGCUCUUGAAACAGUUUUUUUGUGAAUUUUUAAAAAUUCGCCAUUUGGCUGAAGGUGUUGUAGGACGUGUUCUUACGAUCUCGUUUGGUUUCUUUCAAAUCGAAGAUUGUCUGGUCAAAAGAUUCACUUCUCAAGUUUUUCCAAGCGUAUCCGAAAUUCCAAAUAUUCACUUAUUUAUAAAACUUUUUUGAAGAAUUUUUUGCUCAAACUGAAAACUAAAUCUUAAUUAUUGGUUUUAUCUAUCCUAUGUUAGGUAACUCGUAAUUUCUGCAACAUUAUACAAAAUUCAAACUGAUGAACCAUGUAGCAUGUAAUUUUAGCCUUAUAAAUACUUAGUCAAUCAAA